rnacentral:rRNA from 1 species
GACAGAGGUGCCAAGCGUUAGGCGGAAUCACUGGGCUUAAAGCGUGUGUAGGCGGGCGGGCAAGUACCUUGUGAAAUCCCACGGCUCAACCGUGGAACGGCUGGGUAUACUGCCUGUCUUGAGCCAGCUAGGGGCGACCGGAACAGACGGUGGAGCGGUGAAAUGCGUAGAUAUCGUCUGGAACGCCAAGGGUGAAAACAGGUCGCUGGGGCUGAGCUGACGCUGAGACACGAAAGCCAGGGGAGCGAACGGG